AAGAUGGGAAAACUUUUUUUUUUUUAACUAAAGAAAUUAUCAUAAAAGGUUAUGACAGUGAUUACCUCUAAAAGAUAUGGAAAGGAUUAUGACAGGGAUGGGAAGAUGUACACUUUAGCUUUGGGAUGCGCAUAAAGCUCUUUUUCUUGCAUUAAGUAAGCUACAUGUGCACAUGGACGAUCUGUGGUGCUUUCCUGACCUGGGGGAGGAGGGAGAGCCAAGCACACAGAGAAACAAUUGCAGCAAUGCCUGCACAUAGUUGCAGGGCUUCUCUUGCCAUACGAGGCUCAGCUUUUUCCCAGGCCUUGAGCUCCCAAAUAAAUUAUGAUGUGCUAUUUUUACAUUAGUUUAUCUUUUAUCCUAGAACACAACUGAGAAACAGAAUUUGUAUGCAUGGUAGAUAUGUUAAAACCUUGUGUUUGUACGUCUAGCAUACUAAGACUUUUCACAUGUGUGAGUAAUUUUUAAAUAGCAAAUUUAAAACAUAUAUCAUCGUUUUAACACCAUAAAUCUUAAUAGUAAACAAAUACUCAAAACAAGGAAAGGUUAAAGAUAGCCUUUAAAUNNNNNNNNNNNNNNNNNNNNNUAAGCAGACAGGCAGUUUGACGGCUAGAUUACAAACCACUGGAAAAGAGAUGGGGGAUCAGUAAUUUAAGAUACCAAAGAAUCACUAUAAAAUACUUUUCAUAUAAAUCACUUAACCACUAAGUGAAUAAUUGCUUAUUUAAGAAAAUCCAGUUGAAGUAGAAGGAUACACAGAGACCCAACUACCUUCUGAAAAAUAGUUUAGAGAAAUACAAAAUAUGGUAUGUUCUCAUGUAGAAUGUAAAAAUGCCAAACCCAUUGAAAUAGGGAAUACAAUGGUGGCUGCCAGGGGCUGGAGUUGAAGGAACUGGGGAGAUAUUGGCUAAAAGGAACAAACUUCUAGCUGUCAAAUGAACAACUUCUGGGAACCUAAUGUCCAGCAUGGUGACUAUAAUGAACCACACUAAAAUAUAAUUCAAAGCUGUUAACAGAGCAGAUCCUAAAUGUUCUUGCCCACACAGAAAAUGGCAAUUAUGUGAGGACAUGUGGGUGUUAACUGACUUUGCUGGGGGUAAUCAUUUCACAAUAAUACAUGUGUAUCAAAUCAUCACACUGUACAUCACUCAAUUUGUCAACAGAAUUGACAAUUCUAUCUCAAUAAAGCAGUAAAUAAAUAUAUAACUAAAUAAGAAAAAAAGAUGUUUAGAAUCUCCAUGGAGCCUUUAAAAGGUCUUUUCACAAUCAAGUUGUCUUUAAAAGGACUGUUUAAAAAACUAACCCAAGACCUAAAGUGGAAGGUGAUAAACUCAACAAAUACUUUCUGAUCAAGAGACAUGUAAACAUUUUUCCUGCAAGUAGGUCACAAUUCUAUGGAGUUAAUAACUAAAAAGUAGAAUUCUGAUUGCAUUAUAAUCCUAUAGACACUUUCAGGAGAUGUGGAGCUCUGAAGGGGACUAGAAAGCAAAGUAAUGGGGAUUAUCUGGGAGUGGAUGA
rnacentral:lncRNA from 1 species